AUUGAACGCUGGCGGCAUGGCUAAAACAUGCAAGUCGAACGCGAAAGUACCUUCGGGUGCGAGUAGAGUGGCGAAAGGGCGAGUAAUGCGUUUCUAACGCGCCCCAAGGUCAGGGAUAGCAUCGGGAAGCCGGUGGUAAUACCUGAUGAUCCCAAUAGAUCAUAUGGUUUGUUGGGCAAAGGCUUGCUGCCUUGGGAUCGGGAAACGUGCUAUCAGGUUGUUGGUGAGGUAAUGGCUCACCAAGCCUUAGACGGCUAGCGGGUGUGAGAGCACGACCCGCCGCAUCGGGACUGAGACACUGCCCGG
rnacentral:rRNA from 1 species